CCUACGGGAGGCAGCAGUGAGGAAUAUUGGACAAUGGGCGCGAGCCUGAUCCAGCCAUGCCGCGUGCAGGAUGACGGUCCUAUGGAUUGUAAACUGCUUUUAUACGAGAAGAAACACCCCUACGUGUAGGGACUUGACGGUAUCGUAAGAAUAAGGAUCGGCUAACUCCGUGCCAGCAGCCGCGGUAAUACGGAGGAUCCAAGCGUUAUCCGGAAUCAUUGGGUUUAAAGGGUCCGUAGGCGGUUUAGUAAGUCAGUGGUGAAAUCUCCCCGCUCAACGGGGAAACGGCCAUUGAUACUGCUAGACUUGAAUUAUUAGGAAGUAACUAGAAUAUGUAGUGUAGCGGUGAAAUGCUUAGAGAUUACAUGGAAUACCAAUUGCGAAGGCAGGUUACUACUAAUGGAUUGACGCUGAUGGACGAAAGCGUGGGUAGCGAACAGGAUUAGAUACCCUGGUAGUCCACGCCGUAAACGAUGGAUACUAGCUGUUGGAAGCAAUUUCAGUGGCUAAGCGAAAGUGAUAAGUAUCCACCUGGGGAUACGUUCGCAAGAAUGAAACUNAAAGGAUUGACGG
rnacentral:rRNA from 1 species